rnacentral:tRNA from 1 species
AAGCGAUCAGUAGCUUGUCUCUGGCCUGACUUUUAAUCAGGGUGUCACAGGUUCGAGACCUGUACGGCCUACCA